rnacentral:tRNA from 1 species
GCCACUUUAGCUCAGUCGGUAGAGCAUCAGACUUUUAAUCUGANAGCCCGUGUUACGUUGAAAUCCAUUUUGAAGCGUCC